ACUCAACGUGAAUUCUUUAAAAAGGGUGAGUUUAAGUUGUAAAAGCGCGCUGCUAGUAUUGGUUCUUCCAAUAUCUCGGGCAGAUACUUGAUCAGCUUGUUAGCCCUAAACUUGUUUUUAAGGAGUUU
rnacentral:sRNA from 1 species